rnacentral:misc_RNA from 1 species
GAUGAAGAACGCAGCGAAAUGCGAUAAGUAAUGUGAAUUGCAGAAUUCAGUGAAUCAUCGAAUCUUUGAACGCACAUUGCGCCCGCCAGUACUCUGGCGGGCAUGCCUGUUCGAGCGUCAUUACAACCCUCAGGCCCCCGGGCCUGGCGUUGGGGAUCGGCGGAGCCCCCCGUGGGCACACGCCGUCCCCCAAAUGCAGUGGCGGUCCCGCCGCAGCUUCCAUCGCGUAGUAGCUAACACCUCGCGACUGGAGAGCGGCGCGGCCACGCCGUAAAACACCCAACUCUUCUGAAGUUGACCUCGAAUCAGGUAGGAAUACCCGCUGAACUUAAGCAUAUCAAUAAGCGGAGGA